CUAUUCACUUUAAAUGAUCAGUAAAGGUCGCGUAACUUCUCCAUCCUAACUCGUUUUCUCUAAGAACUUGACGAGUUCUUAUGUAAUUAAAUUACACACAAAAACAUAGUCAACAAGGAAUUUAGCUACACAACUAACUCUCAGUCCUCACACAAUUCUACAAAAUUACAUACAUUUUAGUGCACGCCCGAUCAUUUCAGAAAGCGAUACAUUUUCCGUAUCUUA
rnacentral:lncRNA from 1 species